AUGACUUACCUCACCCCGUCUCCAUAUCUCACCCCCAACGCUCCAGAAUCCAACCCGACAUCUUAUCUGACCUUUGGACCCGGCGGGAACUCAGCCAGCCUGAUGACCUACUCCACCGGAGGCCACGCCUACUUCCAGUCCCAGAACACGGGACAAAUCCUGCUGCAGUCAGCUGGUCAUCACGGUGGAAUGGCAGCGUACCAGUCAUAUCCCUGGGGCAACAUGUACAGUCAGACAGCCAUCCAGCAGCAUGCUCCGUGCCCCCCCGCUUUCACGGCCAAUUUAGGAGGUGCUCGAGAACACCAGCCACCUGCCUCCACCACCCUGCCUCCCCUUUCAUUCUUCCCGCUGGGCGACCCCGUGCCGUCACUCGCCAACCCUCAGGGUCCAUCACACGCUCAGACUCACACCAGUAGUUGCACCACCACCACUUCUAGUGCCGCCCUCCCUCCUGUGUCAACGCUGCGGCCCCCUCGCCUCCGUGCGGAGAUCACCCCCACCACAGCUGCUUCUCUGCUGCCUUCCCAGACCAGCCCCGCUUCUCCAGAAAGCCCUCCAGUUCCCCCUUGUGUCAAGAUCGAGUAUGACAGCCCUCAAGAGAUUCAUAGCCACUUCCACUGCGAUUUCUCCUCUAUUCAUUUUUGACUGCACAUGUGUCUACGUGACCGUGUCUUUAAUAUGGCUGUAAAUAUGUCUGCUGUAAAUACAAGGAUAUUUCCCAUUUAUGUCAGUGAAGAUGUUCUCAGUCAGCAGGUGUGGCAGGAUGCCGGUCGCUUGGCAGCAGUAAAUACUGCCGUUAAUCCAUUAUUUAAGUUGAUUUGCACCACUUGAAAUCAGCAGUUGAACAUAUUGUUGCUUCAGGGACUGUUUUUAUUGAAGCAGCUUGACUUUGGAGCAUCUAAUUGCUGUGUAAUUCUCCAUCUACCUUUGAGUGAAAAAUUAGAAAAUAACACGGAGGAAAAGGAAUUGGGGAAAUGUAUAAUUUUCCCACGGCCAUUAAGAAUUUUGUUUAUGAACAUUUAAUAAAUGGCGUGUAAUACACUAGUAUAAAUGUAAGCCGAUGCGAGUGUUAAUUUAUUUGUAAAUAUCUGUAACUAUUCCAUAAGUGAAAAUUGUGAUGAUUCUGCCUGGUUUGACGUUUAUAGGCCCAAAAUUAGAAAUGCAUAAACACACAAGCACCUCACACAGAGCUCCAUGUGUUGUUUGAAAGCGUCGUGUUACAAAUAAAAGACUCAUAGACUCUGUGUGUUUAGGCCACAGGGGGGGCGCUGUUUCGUCGUUCCUGAAGCCCUUUCAUGCCGGGAUUUUAUUUUUUAGCCGGAUUUUCAGACAAAAGUACGAUGUCUAAACAGUCAGUGCAUAAAAAGUUGUAGUUGUGAAGUGGAAGAAUCUGAUAUAAUCACUGAAACAUCAGAAAUCCUUAAUCUGCAUUGCCAUCUGUUGUGUUCACACACUGCACUUUCUGCACUGUUUGGUCUUUGGAAGUCUGUUUGAACCUAAAUCCCACCUCUGAAACAGCUCCAGGCAUUUCCUAAGACUCUGGGACUAGCAUGAUAAUUUUUGUUGCCCCCUCACUAAAAUAAAUGCAAAAGUUUUCUGGCUCUGACUCUAGUUGGUAUUCCGGGAUCGCACUCCUGCCGUACGAGAAGUCUGAGGCGAAGCUCGGCUGAUGACGUGGGAGUUUUGAUGAGAGCGGAGAGGAGGCGGCGGGGACCAGGGGAGCACAUAAAGAAGUGUGUGUGUGUGGGGGGGGGGGUGGUGGAGAUAUGAAGCAGAAUGUUGGCCUGGGAACAAGGGAGGAGAGCUGAGAUGAGCUGUUGCUAUGGGAGGAGAAGAGGAUGAUGGGUGGGCUCUGCCAGCAGGCGUGGGAGGGGGAAGAAGAUGGGGAUGAGGGUUCUGGGACGAACAGAACUGUUGGUUAUGUAACGACUAUGUUUGGGUUUUUUAAUGAACCUCUUUCUGCCUGCUCACUGGCUACUGAGCUGUUACUGUUGGCAAGAGAAGUGCAGCAUAAACACAUACAAAUGACUCUCCCGCUGCAGAAUAUCUCCCCUAUUCACGGACAGAGGCAUGAGAUCUACAGCCUCUUUUUCUGAGUUGCGUUAAUUUUUCCUGGACAUUGCUGCAGUGAACAGAGGGCGUCUCAGAACACAGCUGCAGGACGCUCUGCGUGUGCGUCCGUGUGUGUGUGUUUCUGUGAGUAUAUCUCUAUGUGUGAGCACAAGGAUGGGAUGUUUCGGUUCAGUCCGAUUCCACCGUGUCAAUAUUUGCACAGUAUUCCAAGACUUAAAGAAAGAGAACUUGUUUGAAUAUUUAUGGAUGUGGUCAAACACAAAUUUUCAGUCUUUCUAAAACAUGUGACUGCUCUCUCUCUCUCUCUCUCUCUCCUCUCCUCUCCUCUCCUCUCCUCUCCUCUCCUCUCCUCUCUCUCUCUCACACACACACACGCACAUGCACGCACGCACAUGCACACAGACUGGACUGCUGAGACCCUCCAUUGAUAUCAGUUGAUAAAGUUUAUUGAUAUAGCCAAAGGGAUCCAAGCAGAAACAUGGUUUGGACAUCCUCCAGUCUUUCGGGUUUUCUGGUUCUGGACUCUUUCGGUUGUUGGUUUUUGGUUUGAUACAACAAAUAGAUCAGCGGGCUCAGGGGAGCUAGGGUGAAUGUCGGUGGAAACCAAAUGAUUUGAUAAAAAUUAAUAGGUGGUUAACCUUCAAAAUGUGAAAAUAAAAACAGAGCCGAUCUGAGCAAAUAUAUCUGGCCUAGGCAUGUUGAUAGUAAAUACACUUUUCCAUAAGUAGCAUCACCGAAUAUGGAACACUACCACAGAUCCAGGACUUGGUUUCCAUUUCUAUCUUGGUUCUGGGAAUAUCGUUGCCAAGGCGAUGUGCAAGCGGUGAAACAGUAUUUACGGGAAGAUUUCCUUUUUCUGGUAAAAACAAACAUUCUGCGUUGUUUUCUUCUGUCUCUUUUUCUGCUGAAUGAGAAAACAGACUAAGAAGGAAAUAAAUACUGUUCAUAAACAAACCUAUUGUUUCACAACUUUACCUGCACGUUUAGUUACAGUAACAGGAAUUAGGAAAAAACUAGGAUUUAAAUUGAUCAUUUAAAAGAUAAAUGUGAAAUAAAUGCGAUGAGAUCGAUGAUGAAUGACAGAUGGCAAUGCCUUCAUGUUGUGGAGUUACGAAAAACAGGUAAGUUUCAAACUGCUCAUGUUUGUUCAUCCUGCCUGCCAAAAUGUUACAUAACUUGUUUGUUUGUGAAGAAUCUUUGUGUAUGCCUGUUGACACUAGUGUGUGUGUGUGUGUGUCUGUGUGUGUGUGUGUGUGACAUACAUACACACACACAGAGUCAUCAGUAGGAAAUAUGUCCAGCUAGUUACCGUACAGCCUUCGUGCAGCUCCUCUUUCAUUCUUGACAACCUCCUCAAUUGCGGCUUGUUCGGAUCGUAAGUGUGUGUGGAUGUGGAAGAGGAGGAAGGGGGUGUUUGCAGGAAUGUGGGGUUGGGUUGGGCGGAACAGGCCGCCAGAGGAUAAAGACGGCCCUCUAUGCUGGUCUCUGGAGAGAUUAAAGCUGUAUAUGAGCGCAUUGAUGAAAGUGUGUUUUCCUACUGUGUUUACUCCUCUGGGGCCCUCUGCCUACCAGACGCUGAAGACGAGAGUGAUGGAAACGAGACGCAAGCGUCCGCAAUGAAUUUUUGCCUGUUUGUGCCGCUGCAUUCAGAAUCUCUGUUGAAAUUUAUGCGUCAAAUCAAGCUUGCAGCUUUAGAAUUGUACAUUGACUCAACGUGUGCUGACAGAGGCAGACGGAUCGAUCUGGAAUAUUCAGAUGGAAAAAACAAACCUUGGAAUAUGCUCACAUUAUCAAGUUGUACAAAAACACACACACACACACACACACACACGUACAUCCCAGAAUGCAUUGCAGGAACAGUGCUGGCUGUGUGUGACGGCUCCUUCACUUCCGCACCGUAAAUGUGUGUUUGCUAUACGAUGGAACACGCAGAGAAAAGAGGAAUUCAUGUCGGUGUUUAUUUGAGCUUUGGCCAAAUCCGACCUCAAGUGGUCAUGUUGGCGCACCCUCUGCACCAAACCCCAGCAGCUCCUGUACCCCCAGCCAGACACACACACGCACACACGUACUGUACACCCUCACAUAUUUGAGCACCACUCUCCCUCACACACACAACUACCUGUCCAUCUCAGCCAUAUCAAGGUGUGUUUGUGUUUCCACCAUUUUAGGUCCUCCCAGGGCAGGUAUUUCCCUCUCU
ensembl:lncRNA